GAGUUUGAUCAUGGCUCAGGAUGAACGCUGACAGAAUGCUUAACACAUGCAAGUCAACUUGAAUUUGGGUUUUUAACUUAGGUUUGGGUGGCGGACGGGUGAGUAACGCGUAAAGAACUUGCCUCACAGCUAGGGACAACAUUUGGAAACGAAUGCUAAUACCUAAUAUUAUGAUAAUAAGGCAUCCUAUAAUUAUGAAAGCUAUAAGCGCUGUGAGAGAGCUUUGCGUCCCAUUAGCUAGUUGGAGAGGUAACGGCUCACCAAGGCGAUGAUGGGUAGCCGGCCUGAGAGGGUGAUCGGCCACAAGGGGACUGAGACACGGCCCUUACUCCUACGGGAGGCAGCAGUGGGGAAUAUUGGACAAUGGACCAAGAGUCUGAUCCAGCAAUUCUGUGUGCACGAUGAAGUUUUUCGGAAUGUAAAGUGCUUUCAGUUGGGAAGAAAGAAAUGACGGUACCAACAGAAGAAGUGACGGCUAAAUACGUGCCAGCAGCCGCGGUAAUACGUAUGUCACGAGCGUUAUCCGGAUUUAUUGGGCGUAAAGCGCGUCUAGGUGGUUAUGUAAGUCUGAUGUGAAAAUGCAGGGCUCAACUCUGUAUUGCGUUGGAAACUGUAUAACUAGAGUACUGGAGAGGUAAGCGGAACUACAAGUGUAGAGGUGAAAUUCGUAGAUAUUUGUAGGAAUGCCGAUGGGGAAGCCAGCUUACUGGACAGAUACUGACGCUGAAGCGCGAAAGCGUGGGUAGCAAACAGGAUUAGAUACCCUGGUAGUCCACGCCGUAAACGAUGAUUACUAGGUGUUGGGGGUCGAACCUCAGCGCCCAAGCAAACGCGAUAAGUAAUCCGCCUGGGGAGUACGUACGCAAGUAUGAAACUCAAAGGAAUUGACGGGGGCCCGCACAAGCGGUGGAGCAUGUGGUUUAAUUCGAUGAUACGCGAGGAACCUUACCAAGGUUUAAAUGGGGACUGACAGGAGUAGAGAUACUCCCUUCUUCGGACAGUUUUCAAGGUGCUGCAUGGUUGUCGUCAGCUCGUGCCGUGAGGUGUCAGGUUAAGUCCUAUAACGAGCGCAACCCCUGCCAUUAGUUGCUAACGAGUAGAGUCGAGCCCUCUAAUGGGACUGCCGGUGCAAACCGAGAGGAAGGUGGGGAUGACGUCAAAUCAUCACGGCCCUUACAUCUUGGGCUACACACGUGCUACAAUGGCCGUUACAGAGAGCAGCCACUGCGUGAGCAGGCGCGAAUCUAUAAAGACGGUCACAGUUCGGAUCGGAGUCUGCAAACUCGACUCCGUGAAGCUGGAAUCGCUAGUAAUCGGAUAUCAGCCAUGAUCCGGUGAAAUACGUUCCCGGGCCUUGUACACACCGCCCGUCA
rnacentral:rRNA from 1 species